CCUACGGGAGGCAGCAGUGGGGAAUAUUGCGCAAUGGGCGAAGGCCUGCCGCAGCGACGCCGCGUGAGGGAUGAAGGUCUUCGGAUCGUAAACCUCUGUCAGCAGGGAAGAACGGUCACUGUGCUAAUCAGCAGUGAAUUGACGGUACCUGCAAAGGAAGCACCGGCUACCUCCGUGCCAGCUGCCGCGGUAAUACGGAGGGUGCGAGCGUUAAUCGGAAUUACUGGGCGUAAAGCGCUCGUAGGCGGUAUGUCAAGUCAAGGGUGAAAUCCCCGCGCUCAACGUGGGAACUGCCUUUGAAACUGGCAAACUGGAGUGUGUGAGAGGAUAGUGGAAUGCCAGGUGUAGGAGUGAAAUCCGUAGAUAUCUGGAGGAACAUCAGUGGCGAAGGCGACUAUCUGGCACAUAACUGACGCUGAGGAGCGAAAGCGUGGGUAGCAAACAGGAUUAGAUACCCGUGUAGUC
rnacentral:rRNA from 1 species